AUCGAAAGAAUGCGCGCAUCCUCG
rnacentral:snRNA from 1 species